rnacentral:rRNA from 1 species
CACGUAGGCGGUCAUUUAAGUCGGAUGUGAAAUCCCCGGGCUCAACCUGGGAACUGCAUACGAUACUGGGUGGCUAGAGUAUGGCAGAGGGGAGUGGAAUUCCAGGUGUAGCGGUGAAAUGCGUAGAUAUCUGGAGGAACAUCAGUGGCGAAGGCGACUCCCUGGGUUAAUACUGACGCUGAGGUGCGAAAGCGUGGGGAGCAAACA